rfam:Felis catus isolate Cinnamon breed Abyssinian chromosome A2, whole genome shotgun sequence.
GCCUGGGUGGCUCAGUCGGUUAAGCGUCCGACUUUGGCUCAGGUCGUGAUCUCGCGGUUCGUGGGUUCGAGCCCCGCGUCGGGCU